rnacentral:lncRNA from 1 species
AGCCUAGAUGACAGAUAAUAAUUAUACACGGGAUUAACAUCGGAUCGAACCAGCUGACGACGAUAAUUAUACAUAGGUCUAGCUAUUUGACACUCCAGAGUAGUAGAGUCAACUGUCACUCAAAACUCUGAAUCGACACCAUCCUGCUUAAUAUGCUUCUGCUGAAUAUUCAGUGUUCAGUGAACAACAGCAAGCUUGGACAUGAGCUCCUUGAGAAUGGCAGGGCAGCUUGUGGUGAGAUGCUCGAAGCCGUCGGUCGCCAUGGCCGAGUUCAGGUGGUCGGUGUAUAUGAAGUGCAGCAUCGCCCUGAACACCGGCGCCUCGAUGUCGUUGAUGCGCGUCGGCGUGGCGGCGGCGGUGCUCCGCGCCAUCGGGCCGAGGAGCUCCGCCUUGAGCACGGACGAGCGGGCGGCGAGCACGGACCUGUGCGCCUUGAACGUCUCGCCGCCGGCCUCGAGCGUGACGUCCGCGCCAUCCCCGCUGGCGAGCAGCUCGCCGAGGUGGCGGUGCAGGUCGGACGGCGGCACGGAGACGUACGACGGAGAAGAAGCGGCGGCGGCGGCCACGGACGACGACGACGACGACGACGCCGUGGCGCCCUCCGCGCGGAACUCGUUGAGGACGGCGAUGUCGCACCAGAUCGUGAAAGAAUCGUCCUUGAUGUGCCUCUUGACGCUCCACUUGCUCACCUCUGUUUCCAUGCCGCCGCAAGAACCGUGGCAAUCGAAGUAUACUACGGCGGACGCCAAUGGCGGUGGCUUGGAUUUCCCGAAGAGGCACCGCGUGGGCGGCGGCUUGGGCUUCUUGAAGCUGAACUCGAACUGCGCCUUCACCGGCUUGGGGACAUGCUCGUCGACGAGGACGAGGUAG